rnacentral:rRNA from 1 species
UACGGAGGGUGCAAGCGUUAUCCGGAAUUACUGGGUUUAAAGGGUGCGUAGGCGGCUUGAUAAGUCAGGGGUGAUAGCCUAUCGCUUAACGAUAGAAUUGCCUUUGAUACUGUAAAGCUUGAAAGGGGUUGAGGUCAGCAGAAUGUGGCAUGUAGCGGUGAAAUGCAUAGAUAUGCCAUAGAACGCCGAUUGCGAAGGCAGCUGGCGGGGCCUACUUUGACGUUGAGGCACGAAAGCGUGGGGAGCGAACAGG